GCCCUCGUAGAUCAACGGUAGAUCGUCCACAUCGAAUAUCCAGACGGUAUGAAAGUUUGAUUGGGUCGCGUGGGUUCGACUCCCGCCGGGGGCG